UGGGGAAUUUUGGACAAUGGGCGAAAGCCUGAUCCAGCAAUGCCGCGUGUGUGAAGAAGGCCUUCGGGUUGUAAAGCACUUUUGUCCGGAAAGAAAUCCUUGGCUCUAAUACAGUCGGGGGAUGACGGUACCGGAAGAAUAAGCACCGGCUAACUACGUGCCAGCAGCCGCGGUAAUACGUAGGGUGCAAGCGUUAAUCGGAAUUACUGGGCGUAAAGCGUGCGCAGGCGGUUUGCUAAGACCGAUGUGAAAUCCCCGGGCGUCAACCUGGGAACUGCAUUGGUGACUGGCAGGCUAGAGUAUGGCAGAGGGGGUGAGAAUUCCACGUGUAGCAGUGAAAUGCGUAGAGAUGUGGAGGAAUACCGAUGGCGAAGGCAG
rnacentral:rRNA from 1 species